AUUGAACGCUGGCGGCAUGCUUUACACAUGCAAGUCGAACGGCAGCGCGGGCUUCGGCCUGGCGGCGAGUGGCGAACGGGUGAGUAAUGCAUCUGAACGUGCACCGGAGUGGGGGAUAGCCCGGCGAAAGCCGGAUUAAUACCGCAUACGACCUGUGGGUGAAAGCGGGGGAGCGAAAGGCCUCGCGCUAUUGGAGCCGCCGAUGUCGGAUUAGCUAGUUGGUGGGGUAAAGGCUUACCAAGGCGACGAUCCGUAGCUGGUCUGAGAGGACGACCAGCCACACUGGGACUGAGACACGGCCCAGACUCCUACGGGAGGCAGCAGUGGGGAAUUUUGGACAAUGGGGGCAACCCUGAUCCAGCCAUGCCGCGUGCGGGAAGAAGGCCUUCGGGUUGUAAACCGCUUUUGUUCGGGAAGAAAUCCUCUGGGCUAAUACCCCGGGGGGAUGACGGUACCGGAAGAAUAAGCACCGGCUAACUACGUG
rnacentral:rRNA from 1 species